rnacentral:tRNA from 1 species
CAGGGGAUAGUUUAAUGAAAAUAUUAAUUUUGGAGAUUAAUGAAAAGAGUGAUCUUUCCUCUGA